AGGGCAUCAUGGGAAAGGUGAGGAGACAGCACUGGCCACAGUAUGACUGAUGUGGAUGUGUUCUGGAUUACAAACACAGCUGUCACACACAGUUCAGUGCUUUAUCAGCAGUCAGAUCUGCAUCAGAGUAACAGUGCCAGGUGUCUGCUGAUCAGCUAAUUCAGCUCUGAACUUCUCAGCAGCGUCGUGUUUUUUUCUCGACCUGCUUCUGUCCGGCAAAUGGCUGUCAUAACUGCUGCUUCUACACAACGUACAUAAGGAUGUAACUGACUCUGGAUUGAACAGAUCAUGUGUUCUAAACUAAGAUAAAUAUAGAUAUGAAUAGGAGGUACGCUUUGUUUUUGCAUUUUUGGCAUCUAUUAAAGACUAGAUCCCUUCAGGUCUGGGAUCCUGCGAAAGCCAACGUUCAUGAAGUGUGAGUGCAAGCAAGAAGGGUGCGAGUAUGAAGCUUGGGGGAGGGGUGGAUGGGUGGAAUGGAGGUUAGAGAGACCACGUUCAUCAACAUGACAACUUGCAAACUUCCUGGUUAGGGUCGCUGAGGUUUGUAUGGCCAAGGAUUACAUACAGGACCUCUAAUUAACUGUUUAAUUCAUUGUGUAAUGAGUAACAUAUUCUUUGUGAUGCACCAAUUGGACUUGAUAAAACCUGAUAAAAAAAUCGGGUGUAAACCUUUUUUGUGAGACGCAAAAAAUAAAUCUGUUCUGACAGUGUCUGGGGUUUCACACAGAGAUGAAAGCAGAAUCACACUGCCUGUAAUUACACAGUCUCUUAAAUCACAUGAUUAUAUGGCUUAAUCUCACACAUGAGGACAGAUACACAGACAGACGUACACACAGCUGCACGGCUCCAUGCAUUAAACCUUUACAGUGUAAUAACAUUGAGUGCGUGGUGACAGUAAUAACCGUCAUCACUGCCAUCAACAUUACUGUCUCUGUGUAAGGACAAUUACCUGUAACGCUCGUCCUGUGUUUGCACAUCAAACACUACAAAGGUGACCUUAAACAGCUCACAACUCGUCCUAAAUAUACAGUCAGGAGCAGUAUAGGAGCGGUAUAUGGGGAAAAAAUCAGAUCUUACCAUAUAAUGAUAGGUGACAUGUCUAUGUAUUGUGAUAUUUAGGUUUCUAACAAACUGCCACCAAUACUGCAGUGUUGCACUGCAAUUUACCAAAUAUGUGCGGUAAAUGUUAAUGUUCUGGAUGGUUCUGUUUCAUUUCCACUGUCACUGUGUCUUUACACUGCCUAUAAAAUACUUAACAGCUACAUGCUAGCUAGCUAAAUCAUAAUUUUAGUCACACAGUGUCUUUUUCUUUAGUGCUUUCUGAACACAUCUGAGGUAAAUGCUGAUGUUCUGGAUUAUCCUGUUACAUUUCCACUCUCACUGUGUCUUUAUAUCGGCUAUAAAAUCCUUAACAGCUACAUGUUAGCUAGCUAAAGCAGAAUUUCAGCCAUACUGUGUCUUUUUUUGUUUUAGUAAUUUAACAAAAUAUCUGAGGUAAAUGUCGAUGCUCUGGAUGGUUGUUUCAUUUCCACUGUCACUGUGUCUUUACAUUGUCUAUAAAAUCCUUAACAGCUACAUGCUAGCUAGUUAAAUCAUAAUUUUAGCCACACAGUGUCUUUUUUUUAAAUAGUAAUUUCUGAACACAUCUGAGGUAAAUGUUGAUGUUCUGGAUGAAUCUGUUACGUUUCCACUCUUACUGUGCUUUAUUGGCUAUAAAAUACUUAACAGCUACAUGCUACCUAGCUAAAUCAUAA